rnacentral:rRNA from 1 species
GCCAGCAGCCGCGGUAAUUCCAGCUCCAAUAGCGUAUAUUAAAGUUGUUGCAGUUAAAAAGCUUGUAGUUGGAUUUUUGUUAAUAAUUUAUAUAAAAUAUUUUGAUGAAUAUUUAUAUAAUAUUAACAUAAUUCAUAUUACUAUUUUUUUUUUUAGUAUAUGAAAUUUUACUUUGAGAAAAUUAGAGUGCUUAAAGCAGGCAUAUGCCUUGAAUACUCCAGCAUGGAAUAAUAUUAAAGAUUUUUAUCUUUUUUAUUGGUUCUAAGAUAAGAAUAAUGAUUAAUAGGGACAGUUGGGGGCAUUUGUAUUUAACAGUCAGAGGUGARAUUCUUAGAUUUGUUAAAGACAAACUAAUGCGAAAGCAUUUGCCAAGGAUGUUUUCAUUAAUCAAGAACGAAAGUUAGGGGAUCGAAGACGAUCAGAUACCGUCGUAGUCUUAACCAUAAACUAUGCCAACUAAAGAUUGGAGGUUGUUCCUUACUCCUUCA